rnacentral:piRNA from 1 species
UCAGUUAACAACAGAAACUGGGUAGUGUC